rnacentral:tRNA from 1 species
CCGUGUUGAUGGACAAGGACACGAUCCUGCGUGGUCAGCAGGUCUGGCAGUCCAUCGGCGGCCAGCAGGUCGGUUCGAUCUGGGGGCACGGA